rnacentral:rRNA from 1 species
CGUUCUAUGUGUGAAGAAGGUGUACCGUGAGGAGCGCUGGAACGCAUAGAAGUGAGAAUGCCGGUAUGAGUAGCGAAAGACAGGUGAGAAUCCUGUCCACCGUAAGACUAAGGUUUCCAGGGGAAGGCUCGUCCGCCCUGGGUUAGUCGGGACCUAAGGAGAGACCGAAAGGUGUAUCCGAUGGCCAACAGGUUGAUAUUCCUGUACUAGAGUAUAUAGUGAUGGAGGGACGCAGUAGGCUAACUAAACCGGACGAUUGGAAGAGUCCGGCUAAGCAGUGAGGUGUAAGAUGAGUCAAAUGCUUAUCUUUAUAACAUUGAGCUGUGAUGGGGAGCGAAUUUUAGUAGCGAAGUUAGUGAUGUCACACUGCCAAGAAAAGCUUCUAGCGUUUAAUGAUACUCUACCCGUACCGCAAACCGACACAGGUAGUCGAGGCGAGUAGCCUCAGGUGAUCGAGAGAACUCUCGUUAAGGAACUCGGCAAAAUGACCCCGUAACUUCGGGAGAAGGGGUGCUGACUUAGGUCAGCCGCAGUGAAUAGGCCCAAGCAACUGUU